rnacentral:lncRNA from 1 species
CACCAUUAGAUUGCACAACAAUUGCUACGAGAUGUGUUCGGACAAAUAAAAGAGCGAGUUUGGAAUGCUUUGAGAGUUGAGGUCCAGCUUACAAGACUUAACACCCUUGAGCAGGUCUCUCUUGUGCAAUUCAAGCAAUCCUCGCUCACUCAUAUGGCCCAACAGUUGAUGUCGCAAAAAAAAAUCAAGCACUCUUCCACAUGAAAGAUACAAUCUGUUUCCAAAU